UUCGGUUCUGCUUUCAUUUCCUCUGUAUCUUCGUUUAUUUUUCAUCUCCAUUGAAACAAUCCCCUCUGCUGCCAUUUUUCCCUUUUAUUUCCCCUCUCUUCGUGUGACAAUCCCAUUCAGUCAACACCCCCCCCCCCCCCCCCACAAGCAACUUCACGAGGUUGACCCCACCUUCUCCACUUUCACGUUUCAUUUCCCUACAGCACUCACGGUCAACACUCCCUUCACCGAAGCCUUUCGUCGACCACUUCACCUCCACGUUGCGGCCAGCUGCUCCACUCCACCGCCUGCUGCAGCCACGCAUCGUCCCAGCUUCGACUCUGCCACGUCCCGCGACAACCUCGCCGUUCGUCUCUUCCCCAACCAACAACGACGCUGCUUCUCUCUCUUUGUUGCUUCAAUCGGCCCAGUUCGCGUGUUUUCAGCCCACCGAUCCUCCUCCAUUUCCAGCGAAGGCCUGCAGCUCAUGCAUUUCUUUGGCCCAGCGAAUUCAGUCCACAAGCCCAGCAGUUGGGCCCGUCUUAAGCCCAUCCUCGCUUGGCCCAGCUCGUUUGUGGAUCAGCCCAGCAACAGCCCACUUGAAUUCUAGCUCAGCCCAGCGAAAAUCUUCAGUCCAGUCUAGCUUUGAAGCCCACGAAGUCAGCCCAACGUCAGCCCAGCCCAAUUUAGCAACAAGUCACAGCUUGGGCUGAGAUUUGUUGGGCUAGUUCUAGGCCCGGUCCAAGCCUGUUGGUGUCGUCGCGAGCCCAAGUUCGGCCGCUGUCGUGGUGAACCGGUUCUCAUUUUUAAACCGGUGAGUUUAUGUACUAAACUCUUCUUAAUAGGCUAAUGACGUUUAAGGGGUAUUUAGAUUAAUUUAAUUUGAAAUUAGGUGGUUAGUUAGAUUAAAUUAAAAAUUAAAUUAUUUAAUUAUGCAUGUUAGGUGGUUAGAACGGCUUAGAUAUGGACUAGAUAAAUUGUAUUAUUUAUCUAGUUGGGUUCGGAAAUUUUCUGGGCUCGUUUCGAUAUUUAUUUAGGCAUUUUUGGCCUAAGUUAGUAUUUUUAGAAUUUAAAUUAUUUAUUUAAUUAAUUUCCAUAAUUAUUUAAUUAUUAAAUAUUUUCCCGAAAUUAGGUCGGGAUAGCCAGUGACCAUAAUUUCAUGCUGAUUGUAAUGGUAUGCGUGGUUUAUUUAAUUGAGUGUUGAUUUGUACAAAUUAAAUGAAAAUUUUAAUACUAGGUAUUUAUUCCAAAAAUAGAGUAAUUUUGGUAUUUAAUCAGAAAAUGCUAGGGCAUCAUUUUUUAACACCGAAAAGGUUUUCGGACACCAUAUAAAUAGUGGGAUUUUCUAAAAGAAAAAUAUUGCAUUUUUGGCUCAGACCGACUAUGUACCCACACACGAUUAUUUCUAUCAGGUAUUUUUAACAUGGAGAAAUUAUGCUAAGACAUUACUUUAAUUGAGGAAUUUAAGUGCGAAACACAAUACCUUUAGCCAGGAGUGAAUAAUUGUGUAAUGGUUUAUAGUCAGGGCAUGUUAACUAUGGGGAAUUGAGAUGAUAUGUGUCGGGUUGAGGAAACCCGAUGGGUCGUGCGAGUCACUUCUAGUGCCUUAUAUCAUUGCUUAUUGUAAUAAAAGGCUAAGUGUUACAUGGCGACCAAAGUUGCAUGAGAAUUACCUCUAGUGCCUUGUAGUAUUGUUAUGUAUAGUGAAGGGUUAGGUGCUUCACGAUAGUAAGAUCUCAUAUGAGUUACCUCUAAUGCCUUAUACUAUUGCUUUUUUAUAGUAAAUGGCUAAGUGCUACACGAUAGCGAGACUUCAUGUGAGUUACCUUUAGUUCCUUGAGUCUAAUUUUGAGUGGGAAUGUUGAAUUGGAAUGUUGAGAGUAAUUAUCGAGUAUAGAUGGAACCAUCGAUAUGAUUGACCGCGCCUGAUUAUGGAACAAAAUUGUGUGACACGGAAUGUGACGUGUCAUAACGAUUUGGCCUUAUAAUCGGAACUCUUGUGAAUUGAUUGAUUAAUUGAUUGACUAAGAUUGAAUGGGGCAUUCCAAAUGCUUGGGUGUUGUUAUUGCACUUAUGUGAUAUGUGAUUCGUGCUAAUAUGUAGAAAGGAUCUGAGAUGAGGUAAGUCUCAUUGAUUGUGUGAUUAUGUGGUUAGGACGAUUCUUGGCGUAUUUCCCUCCUAAUCGGGGUUUAGAGCGUGAACUCGUUAAGAUUUAUAUAUCACCCCGUCGUGGGCUCAAUUUUCAGGGCCGUAGAGUGGAGGACCCGAAGCCGAGCUGUGGUGA
rnacentral:lncRNA from 1 species